GACGAACGCUGGCGGCGUGCUUAACACAUGCAAGUCGAACGGUAAGGCCCUUCGGGGUACACGAGUGGCGAACGGGUGAGUAACACGUGGGUAAUCUGCCCUGCACUUCGGGAUAAGCCUGGGAAACUGGGUCUAAUACCGGAUAGGACCCUGGGAUGCAUGUCCUGGGGUGGAAAGCUUUUGCGGUGUGGGAUGGGCCCGCGGCCUAUCAGCUUGUUGGUGGGGUGAUGGCCUACCAAGGCGACGACGGGUAGCCGGCCUGAGAGGGUGACCGGCCACACUGGGACUGAGAUACGGCCCAGACUCCUACGGGAGGCAGCAGUGGGGAAUAUUGCACAAUGGGCGCAAGCCUGAUGCAGCGACGCCGCGUGAGGGAUGACGGCCUUCGGGUUGUAAACCUCUUUCAGCACCGACGAAGCACAAGUGACGGUAGGUGCAGAAGAAGGACCGGCCAACUACGUGCCAGCAGCCGCAGUAA
rnacentral:rRNA from 1 species